rnacentral:lncRNA from 1 species
ACCAGCCUGGUCUGCCCUGCCCCCUUCCUUCCCACCUCAGACUCCAUCUUGCACUGCAGGGAGCCUCUCCUGUACAGAUUUGGACUCCUUAGCCUGUGUUUACAUGUUUUUAACCACUUGGCCCUAGAACCACUUAUGACCAGGAAAUGGCUUCCGUGAACCAUAGAGUCGUGCUUUUUGAGGGUUUUCGAGCUGCCCUCGGCUGGUGGAGGUGACCGGCGAUUCUUCACCCGCCCGCACGCAGAACAGGUGUCCCAGGAUCGAGUCCGCAUCUGUGCAACAGGCGACGGAAGAUUCGACAAAGUUCAGUCGCCGCGCCCGCUUUUUAUUACACCCAUACACGGCAACCGCGCGUCUCCACCCGCGCGCCGACGCGCGUGGAUGGCGGUAGAAACCCGCAGCCCUCGCACUCGCUCUGCGGAGCUCUGUGGGCCGAGCGAGACUUGAGGGUGUGUGUGUGUGUGUGUGUGUGUUGUGUGUGUGUGUGUGUGUGUGUGAAGGCCUGAUGCCCGCACUUCCAGAGCUCAGUCCUGGGGGAGCGCGGUGGGCGGGGGGGGGGGGGACCAGGA